rnacentral:tRNA from 1 species
UGGGGUGUAGCCAAGCGGCAAGGCAGCGGACUUUGGAUCCGCGACCGAUGGUUCGAAUCCAUCCACCCCAGCCA